UUGGCUUCUCUAGUUGCAACACCUAUGUACGGAAAGCCCAAUAGAAAACGUUGUGUGAGGUCAUGUAACUUUCUUGUGUCGUUUGAUUGGUGAACUAGACUUAAACGUCACUAGCCCUUAAACUGGAUUGGAGCAAACAGCGCCAAUCUGGAAGUCUAAAUCGUAAUCUCACUCAUGAAAUAGUUGGCAAAUAAGCAAUAAUUGAUAAAUAAACGUAGCGACCAACAUUUAGGUCAUUGUAAUGGAGUAAAAGUACCGUUAUUUCUUAACAGCAGAAACGGCGAACGUGUUUUUUUCUGGUCUCAUCAACUCCUGUGAUUUAUCCAAAACCGGUCCCGAGCGCAGAGGCGGAACCUCAGACCGAUGCGCCGGGAUAUUAGUCCGCCGCGGCGUAAUACAAGCCGAAAGGAAAAAAAGAAGUCAUCUGUGUGUGGAUGGUCGCUGUGUGGAAUGGAUUUAGCUGCCAGCGUUGAAGGAGUACGAAACAGUCGAUGAUGACUGCGACAGCGAAAGCGACCGCUCCCCCCCCCCCACCAGAAAAACUCAUUGCAUCUGUACGAUUCACGGAAAUGGCCUAUUUUGAGUUCAAAACGGGAAAUUUCACCGAAAGGCGACUGAUUUGCAUUGUUGCCAUUGGUUAAGAUCAUCGCCUGCCACCGUGGGGGACCUAGGUUCAAAACCCCGACUGGACCAUCCGCCAACAUCCCCCGGACUCACGGCUGUGGUGUCCUUGAGCAAGACACUGAUACCCCGAAAUGCUCCCCGGGCGCUUCAGCUGCCCCCUGCUCCAGUGUGUUCCACUAACAUGUGUAUGUGUUCACUGUGAUGGGUUAAAUGCAGAGAACAAAUUUCGUGUGCAUGCAUGCAUGUUCAUGACAAUAAAAAGAUGAUUCUUCUUCUUCUUUCAAUUUCUUAUUGGAAAAUUAGUGUUGAAGUAUGAACAAAUCAGAGGUUGGUCAGUAUCCCAGAAUGCACUAUGUCCACUCUUAAAGGGUCCAUUGCUUAUCUAAAGGUAAUUAUUGAAACCUAAAAGAUUGUGGUUUCAUUGUCAAUAAAAAACACAUGAUGACGACUGAGCUGGAAUGGAGGCACGCUCUAAAGAAACAUCCAACAACAUGAGGCUCAGUGCCCUCACUCUUCUCCCAUCCCCCCAUCACCUCACCCCACCCCCAAAAUCUAGCUAUUGUGAGAAGAAAGAAUGCUUUUCAAAAAGUUGUUCCUUUCACAGUGAGGGAUGGUGGGUGUCGCCCCAUUUUUUACAUAAGACUUAAAGAGGGGGGUGUACCUGCAGCUAGAUGAGAGCCUUUUCUUGACAGAGAAAUGAUGCACCUCUGUUCUUUUUGUUUUGUUUUGUUUUUACUUCUACUUAUUGACGUUCACUGGUACUUGGGUGUACUUGCAAGAAAGCUAUUCAACUAAUUGUCUGUUAGAACUUGUGUUGAAUAGAACUUGGAUAGCUGAAUUGCAUGCAGGAACUUGAAUAUAUCAGGAUCUAGAGAGUCCGAAGAGAUGUCAAGCUGGGCUGUUUUAAAAGCAUGGAAUAAAGUCAUAAUAUUACGAUCAUAAGUAUAUGUUUAUGAUCACAAUAUUACUUGUUCUGUGUUAAGCUACAGACUGUUAAGGAUCUUAUUACACUUUAGCAUUCACAAAAAAAUAAAUUGUAAAUUUUAUUAGAUGAAACUCUCUUUAUUUAUUUCUGUGAAUCUUCCUGCAUGG